AUUUAUAUAGUUUAUUAAAACUUUACAUUUUCAUUGUAAAAAUAAAAUUUCAAUAUUUUUAUAAGUA
rnacentral:tRNA from 1 species